rnacentral:rRNA from 1 species
GGGGAAUAUUGCACAAUGGGGGGAACCCUGAUGCAGCCAUGCCGCGUGAAUGAAGAAGGCCUUCGGGUUGUAAAGUUCUUUCGGUGACGAGGAAGGUUGGUAGGUUAAUAGCCUAUCAAAUUGACGUUAAUCACAGAAGAAGCACCGGCUAACUCCGUGCCAGCAGCCGCGGUAAUACGGGGGGUGCGAGCGUUAAUCGGAAUAACUGGGCGUAAAGGGCACGCAGGCGGUGACUUAAGUGAGAUGUGAAAGCCCCGAGCUUAACUUGGGAAUUGCAUUUCAUACUGGGUCGCUAGAGUACUUUAGGGAGGGGUAGAAUUCCACGUGUAGCGGUGAAAUGCGUAGAGAUGUGGAGGAAUACCGAAGGCGAAGGCAGCCCCUUGGGAAUGUACUGACGCUCAUGUGCGAAAGCGUGGGGAGCAAACAGGAUUAGAUACCCUGGUAGUCCACGCUGUAAACGAUGUCGAUUUGGGGAUUGGGCUUUGAGCUUGGUGCCCGUAGCUAACGUGAUAAAUCGACCGCCCGGGGAGUACGGCCGCAAGGUUA